GACGAACGCUGGCGGCGUGCUUAACACAUGCAAGUCGAACGGAAAGGCCCUGCUUGCAGGGUACUCGAGUGGCGAACGGGUGAGUAACACGUGGGUGAUCUGCCCUGCACUUCGGGAUAAGCCUGGGAAACUGGGUCUAAUACCGGAUAGGAGCCAUUUUUAGUGUGAUGGUUGGAAAGUUUUUUCGGUGUAGGAUGAGCUCGCGGCCUAUCAGCUUGUUGGUGGGGUAAUGGCCUACCAAGGCGGCGACGGGUAGCCGGCCUGAGAGGGUGGACGGCCACAUUGGGACUGAGAUGCGGCCCAGACUCCUACGGGAGGCAGCAGUGGGGAAUAUUGCACAAUGGGCGCAAGCCUGAUGCAGCGACGCCGCGUGGGGGAUGACGGCCUUCGGGUUGUAAACUCCUUUCGCUAGGGACGAAGCUUUUUGUGACGGUACCUAGAUAAGAAGCACCGGCUAACUACGU
rnacentral:rRNA from 1 species